rnacentral:rRNA from 1 species
GACGAACGCUGGCGGCGUGCUUAACACAUGCAAGUCGAACGGAAAGGCCCUGCUUUUGUGGGGUGCUCGAGUGGCGAACGGGUGAGUAACACGUGAGUAACCUGCCCUUGACUUUGGGAUAACUUCAGGAAACUGGGGCUACUACCGGAUAGGAGCUCCUGCUGCAUGGUGGGGGGUGGAAAGUUUCGGCGGGUGGGGAUGGACUCGCGGCUUAUCAGCUUGUUGGUGGGGUAGUGGCUUACCAAGGCUUUGACGGGUAGCCGGCCUGAGAGGGUGACCGGCCACAUUGGGACUGCGAUACGGACCAGACUCCUACGGGAGGCAGCAGUGGGGAAUAUGGCACAAUGGGCGGAAGCCUGAUGCAGCAACGCCGCGUGCGGGAUGACGGCCUUCGGGUUGUAAACCGCUUUCGCCUGUGACGAAGCGUGAGUGACGGUAAUGGGUAAAGAAGCACCGGCUAACUACGUG